GGAUUGCGAUGGGCGAAAGCCUGACGCAGCGACGCCGCGUGCGGGAUGAAGGCCUUCGGGUUGUAAACCGCUUUCAGCAGGGACGAAGCGAAAGUGACGGUACCUGCAGAAGAAGCGCCGGCUAACUACGUGCCAGCAGCCGCGGUAACACGUAGGGCGCGAGCGUUGUCCGGAAUUAUUGGGCGUAAAGAGCUCGUAGGUGGUCCGCCACGUCUGCUGUGAAAAUCCAGGGCUUAACCCUGGACUUGCAGUGGAUACGGGCGAACUAGAGGUAGGUAGGGGAGAAUGGAAUUCCCGGUGUAGCGGUGAAAUGCGCAGAUAUCGGGAGGAACACCGGUGGCGAAGGCGGUUCUCUGGGCCUUACCUGACACUGAGGAGCGAAAGCGUGGGGAGCGAACAGGAUUAGAUACCCUGGUAGUCCACGCCGUAAACGUUGGGCGCUAGGUGUGGGGUCCUUCCACGGAUUCCGUGCCGCAGCUAACGCAUUAAGCGCCCCGCCUGGGGAGUACGGCCGCAAGGCUAAAACUCAAAAAAAUUGACGGA
rnacentral:rRNA from 1 species